rnacentral:lncRNA from 1 species
UGGUAUUAUCUUUCUUUCAAAUAUGAGUUUGAUUGGGAUGCUUCUAAUAACACUAAGCAUUUAAUGCUAUUAAAUUGUUCAUCGUUUGAUUUACUCUUUUGACAAUUUUCAUCCGUUAAAUCAUAUUAUUCAAUCAACCACCUACUCGAUCAUAAAAAAUCACUAUCAUUUUAACCUUAUAUUUCUUCAUCGAAAGGCUAAAAGUCUAAUAACACUAAUAGAUUUGAUGUCAAUAGAAGUAUUUCAGUCUAAUUCUCUCUCUCUCUCUAAAAUUUAUAAUUUAUAAUUUAUAAUUUUAAAUUUUAAAUUUUUAUAUUUAAAUUAUAAAUUUGAUAUUUUUAAUUUUUAAAUUUUAAAUUUAAUUUUUUUAGAUUUUAAAUUUUAAAUUUGAUAUUUUAUAUCUUUCAAAUUUAAAUUUGAUAUUUAAAAUUUAAAAUUUGAAAAUUAAAAGUUUUAAUUUUAAUUUCAAAUUUUUAACUUAAAAUUAUAAGUUUAAAAUUUUAAAUUCAAUUAUAGGGGUGAAAUUAUUAUUUUCUAUCUAUAACUACCAACUAUUCUACAUUAUACUUAUAUUUUCAUCCCAACAUAAUUUUUCUAGUUCCAGUUUAUAUCUAUAUUUUUAUCCAAAUAAAAAAAUAUCUUUUUUUCUAUGAAAAUCAAUACUUAUAUCUAUUCACGGUAUAACUAGUUAUUGCUUAUAACCGAACCAGACGAAGUAUUAAUGCAUAAGUCAAU